GACGAACGCUGGCGGCGUGCUUAACACAUGCAAGUCGAACGGUGAACGAGGGAGCUUGCUCCCUCCGGAUCAGUGGCGAACGGGUGAGUAACACGUGAGCAAUCUGCCCCGAACUCUGGGAUAAGCGUUGGAAACGACGUCUAAUACCGGAUACGACGCGGGAGGGCAUCCUCUCCGCGUGGAAAGAACUUCGGUUCGGGAUGAGCUCGCGGCCUAUCAGCUUGUUGGUGAGGUAACGGCUCACCGAGGCGACGACGGGUAGCCGGCCUGAGAGGGUGACCAGCCACACUGGGACUGAGACACGGCCCAGACUCCUACGGGAGGCAGCAGUGGGGAAUAUUGCACAAUGGGCGCAAGCCUGAUGCAGCAACGCCGCGUGAGGGACGACGGCCUUCGGGUUGUAAACCUCUUUUAGCAGGGAAGAAGCGAAAGUGACGGUACCUGCAGAAAAAGCACCGGCUAACUACGUG
rnacentral:rRNA from 1 species